CAGUGGUGGGAGAAACUUUAGUUUCUAGAUUUCAGCAAAUAAAUUAGGAUGCAAAGAGCUAUUCUCUUCAGUACUGGCUCCACCUAAUCGACAUUCGAUUUUCUGUUCAAUCUUUCCGAGCGAAAAGGAGAGUUCAAUUUGAUCAAGAUGAGGAUUCGUCGCGUAUUUUUAGUCGUCGUCACGGUCAUCAUUGGCUCAAUGUCACUAUGUGCAGCAAAACCAUUCGAUGAUGGAGACCUUAUUGACAUUCUUUGUCGUACGGAGGGGAAUCUUAUUAUUCCUUGUGGGCCGUAAAAUCUCGGCGAUCUCAACUUGACAAAACUUAAAAAUGUAUGUGGACGUCAGGCGCACCCAAUUUUCCCUAAUCCUAAUAACCUCUCCACGGGUCGGUUUGCCACAAAAUGUUUAACUGACGAUCGCCGAAUUUUUAGCGCUGAUUCCGAAAAUAACCUAUGUAUUACUUAAUCAAUUCGGUUUUCCCUAAAGUUAGAAUUUUCCUCAAGAAUCGAGCUUAUCCAGAGGGAAUGUAAUUUCCCAGAAAAUCUAUGCACGAUGGAGAACAACCAAGGUCAUAUUCGGAUUCAGCAGCCAUAAUUAAUCGGUAAUCACGUAUCUUAUGUUUAUCAAAUUUUCCGCAGUGGUAAACACUGAUGAAUAGUAAUAAAAUAACCUCUUUCAAAA